GUUGAAACACCGGUUCCCGUACGAUCACGGAAGUUAAGCAACGUCGAGCCUACUCAGUACCUACGUGGGUGGCCACAUGGGAAUACCAGGUGCUGUG